GAAAGGGGACAGAACAGAAAGGGGAAGAAGCUUUUUCAUAAAGCAGAGUCAGAAUGUAUUUGCAUCUAAUUAAGGUGACCAGACGUUGUGGUUUACCUAGGACAGUCCCGGUUUCACAAGGUGGUUAUAGCUGUGGUUAAUCUGACUUUGCUGCAGCCUGGAGUUGAAAUGAUGGUUUCGUCUGGUCAGAGGAGAACUGGCCCCCUGACUGAGCCUGGUUUCUCCCAACGUUUUUUUUCUCCAUUCUGUCACCGAUGGAGUUUUGGUUCCUUGUCACUGUCGCCUUGGGCUUGCUUGGGGACAAUACAUUUAUAGCGGUAUCAUUGACUUGAUUGCAAAUGAUUACAAAGAUACUAUUUAAACUGAACUGAGCUUGAUAAUGACAUCACAGAAUUCAAUGAUGAACUGCCGUUAACUGUAAUUUUGCAUUAUUGACACUGUUUUCACAAUUAAUGUUGUUCGAUCUGUUUGUUUAAAGCAUAA